rnacentral:lncRNA from 1 species
UGCAAGUUAAAUUUCUUGCGAUUAUAACCUUGUUACAUUUUUUGCAAUAAUAAAAACACCUCAAUAAUAAAAACAUUGCAAUGUUUCUGAAUUUACAGUAUACUCUUUGGUUUUGGGAUGAACCAGAGUAGCUUAUCUUUUUUUGUUAGAGAUUAAAUUGUAUUUUAGAGAAAAUAAGACAUUACACUGCAGCAUGAAUUAUUUAUUUAACAUAUUUCACUAGAAAGAAGGAAAACAGUAUAUCUCUUUAUUUUGUGGUUAUUAUCAACAAUAUUUUUCCAUGUACAAAGAUGAUUUGAACAUAUUGUCACGCUUUAUACCCCAGAGAAUUUACAAAAAACAAGCAUCUAAAGUGAUAUUCAUUCCAUGAUCAUCUUUUAUGUAAUAAUUUGUAUUUGGAAACAUUGGAUAUGGGAUAUCAUUGAUUUUUACAUUUAUAAUUGAUAAGGAUUUUCAUGAGUGAAAUGGAAUUGAUUGUUUUUUAAAUGUUAAAUUUGGUUUCUCAUAUAUCAUGAUCUAUUUUUGAUGCCAGAUAUUUUUUGUUUUCAUCUUGUACAAUGAUCAAUAACACAUUAAAUCUGAUUUUUAGCUCAUCUGGCCCGAAGGGCGAAGUGAGCUUUUCCCAUCACUUUGCGUCCGGCGUCUGUUAUCGUCCGUCGCCGUUAACUUUUACAAAAAUCUUCUCCUCUGAAACUAAGAGGCCAAAUUAAACCAAACUUGGAUACAAUCAUCGUUGGAGUAUCUAGUUAAAAAAAAUGUGUCCGGUGCCCCGGCCAACCAACCAAGAUGGCGGCCUUGGCUAAAAAUAGAACAUAGGGGUAAAAUGCAGUUGUUGGCUUAUAACUCAAAAACAAAAGCAUUGAGAGCAAAUCUUACAUGGGUAAAAUUGUUUAUCAGGUCAAGAUCUAUCAGCCCUGAAAUUUUCAGAUGAAUCCGACAACCCGUUGUUGGGUUGCUGCCCCUAAAUUGGUAAUUUUAAGGAAAUUUUACUGUUUUUGGUUAUUAUCUUGAAUAUUAUUAUAGAUAGAGAUAAACUGUAAGCAGCAUUCAUGUUCAGCAAAGUAAGAUUUACAAAUAAGUCAACAUGACCAAAAUGGUCAGUUGCCCCCUUUAGGAGUUAUUGCCCUUUAUAGUCAAUUUUUAACCAUUUUUCGUAAAUCUUAGUAAUCUUUUACAAAAAUCUUCUUCUCAGAAACUAUUUGCCAAC